UACGUAGGGUCCAAGCGUUGUCCGGAUUUAUUGGGCGUAAAGAGCUCGUAGGCGGUUCCGUAAGUCGGAUGUGAAAACUCGGGGCUCAACCCCGAGACGCCAUCCGAUACUGCGGUGACUUGAGUCUGGUAGGGGAACACGGAAUUCCUGGUGUAGCGGUGAAAUGCGCAGAUAUCAGGAGGAACACCAAUAGCGAAGGCAGCUCGCUGGGACGGUACUGACGCUAAGGCGCGAAAGCGUGGGGAGCGAACAGG
rnacentral:rRNA from 1 species